UACGAAGGGGGCUAGCGUUGCUCGGAAUCACUGGGCGUAAAGCGCACGUAGGCGGCUUUUUAAGUCAGGGGUGAAAUCCUGGAGCUCAACUCCAGAACUGCCUUUGAUACUGAGAAGCUUGAGUCCGGGAGAGGUGAGUGGAACUGCGAGUGUAGAGGUGAAAUUCGUAGAUAUUCGCAAGAACACCAGUGGCGAAGGCGGCUCACUGGCCCGGUACUGACGCUGAGGCGCGAAAGCAUGGGUAGCGAACAGG
rnacentral:rRNA from 1 species